rnacentral:rRNA from 1 species
AUUGAACGCUGGCGGCAUGCUUUACACAUGCAAGUCGAACGGCAGCACGGGCUUCGGCCUGGUGGCGAGUGGCGAACGGGUGAGUAAUGCGUCGGAACGUGCCGAGUAAUGGGGGAUAACGCAUCGAAAGGUGUGCUAAUACCGCAUACGCUCUGAGGAGGAAAGCGGGGGACCUUCGGGCCUCGCGUUAUUCGAGCGGCCGACGUCUGAUUAGCUAGUUGGUGGGGUAAAGGCUCACCAAGGCGACGAUCAGUAGCGGGUCGGAGAGGAUGAUCCGCCACACGGGGACUGAGACACGGCCCAGACGCCUACGGGAGGCAGAAGUGGGGAAUUUUGGACAAUGGGCGAAAGCCUGAUCCAGCCAUGCCGCGUGAGGGAAGAAGGCCUUCGGUUUGUAAAGCUCGUUUGUCCGGGAGGAAAUCCCGUAACCUAAUACGUUACGGGGAUGACAGUACUGGAAGAAUAAGCACCGGCUAACUACGUGCCAGCCGCCGCCGUAACAC